AAGAUACUCCCUCCGUCCGGAAAUACUUGUCGAAGGAGGAUGUAUCUAGUAUCUUAGUUUUAGAUACAUCUAUUUUUAUCAAUUUUUCCGACAAGUAUUUUGGGACGGAGGGAGUACAUG
rfam:Triticum aestivum genome assembly, contig: Triticum_aestivum_CS42_TGACv1_scaffold_223203_3B